GGAGAAGGGGAGGGUGCCCUGAGGGAGGGAGGACUCUGCAGAGGGAUGGGCAGCCAAGAGUUGAUCCACCUGUACAGGGAAUCUCCUUGGUGAUCCUGAAUCCAUUUGUGAGUCCAGGAUGUCUUGGUGGUGGCACAACAUCAGGCCUCUGAAAUAGGGAAAGCGUAGACUUGACCCCUGUGAACUAUGCUUUGGAAGUAAAUGAUGAAGGAGAAAUAAAGAAUAAUGCGGGUCCAGCCCACGGGACUGCUCUCUGUGUUUCUUGAGAAGCAUGCAUGUUCUCCUGGUCCCGUCUGCCUUCUGCUUCAGGCCCUGGAGGAACUUCCAGCUUUGCCACCGAAGGAAAAAGAUCCCUUCAGAUCCCCAGUUCUUGGGCAGGUGCUUCCCAGGUGGAACAGAGCCAGCGCUUUCUUCUUCACUGGGCCUCCCUUGGCUUAUCUGGGCUCCUCUUUGAUCUAUUGUCUGACGGAUAUUGGAGGUUUCUUGAAAAAUCCUCCUUUGUUUACCCAAUAGCAGUGAAGUCCUCGAGUAAACUGUCUUUUACCAGUGUUCUCCCGCAGGCAUUGCGCACAGGUAGUCUGAAGGCUGUGGUGCUGUUGCCUUGGAGAGGUGUUGGGAGAGGCCUUUUAACAUCUAACGAGUAGGUGUCACACUGUGGCAGAAAUGGGGGCUGCAGGCAGGGACCACUUGCUUGUGGAAUUGGAGAGCAGAGAAAACGAGGCAGGAUGAGAGGUGGAAGGAGGACAGAGAAGUGGACGUUUGGCACAUCCCGGUGGAGAGAACUCUGUCCCUGGGUGAGGUUCAAAAUCCAUAUCAGGGUUUUCUCUGAAUUCUGGUCAAGUGAAAGCCACAGGACUAUUCUAGCAGCCAAAGGGAAAGGCCAGCCAGGCAUGAUGGGGUGAGGGGUGCUUGGAGAUGCAGUGGGGAGGGCGGUGAGUGGAGAGUGGAGAGGUAUAGGUGCGGAGAGGCAGAGGUGAGGCAAAUGGUGUGGCAAGGAGCUCCCUGGGAGAUGGUGGAAUUGAGGGGUGGAACCAUAGUGGGGUUGGCUUGUGGGAGCUUUUACCCUGGACCCACAUGAGAAUGAUCUAGGGAAUUAAAAAAUAUCCGAAUGUGGUCCAGGCGCAGUGGCUCACGCCUGUAAUACCAACACUUUAGGAGGCCGAGGUGAUAGGGAAGGGGGCAGGGAAGUGCUGGGAGGAGAAGGGCAGGUCUCCGGCGGGGGCUCCACCCCUGGGCCUGGGCCCACUGACUAGGUGAGGACAGGCACUCCUGCCUUCAUGUCCCGAUGUUGCAUUUCCCAAGACCAUCCUGGCCUGCCAUGCCCCCAUCCUGUGCCUGUAAAAACCCGAGACCCUAGCAGGCAAGCACACAAGUGGCUGAACGUGGCCAGGAACACAUCGACGGAAGAAGACGCAAGCGGCUCGACAUUGACAGGCCUCCGAGGGGAGCACGCCGGCACGUCUGCAGGACUUCCACCCGCGAAACCACACAGAGUUUGGCUGGGGCGGUCAGGACCACUGAGCGGCUCGACUUCAGAGGCACAUCAUCUCCCUUCUGGCUCCCCCAUCUGCUGAGAGCUACUUCCACUCAAUAAAACCUUGCACCCGUUCUCCAA